AUUGAACGCUGGCGGCAGGCCUAACACAUGCAAGUCGAGCGAGCGGCGGACGGGUGAGUAAUGUCUGGGGAUCUGCCUGAUGGAGGGGGAUAACUACUGGAAACGGUAGCUAAUACCGCAUACUAUCGGAUGAACCCAUAUGGGAUUAGCUAGUAGGUGGGGUAAAGGCUCACCUAGGCGACGAUCUCUAGCUGGUCUGAGAGGAUGAUCAGCCACACUGGAACGGAGCCACGGACCAGACUCCUACGGUAGGCAGCAGUGGGGAAUAUUGCACAAUGGGCGCAAGCCUGAUGCAGCCAUGCCGCGUGUAUGAAGAAGGCCUUAGGGUUGUAAAGUACUUUCAGCGGGGAGGCGUUACCCGCAGAAGAAGCACCGGCUAACGCCGUGCCAGCAGCCGCGGUAAUUC
rnacentral:rRNA from 1 species